GUCUAGGGUCAUACCACCCUAAACACACCCCAUCUCUGAUCUUGGAAACUAAGCAGGGUCGGUCUGGUUAGUACUUGGAUGGCAGAAUAUGAUAGCCUCAAACU
rnacentral:rRNA from 1 species